ensembl:lncRNA
ACCCAAGAAGAAAGUAGGAACCAAGCUGAAGCCUCAAGUCCUCGUCCCUGUCUCUCUCCAUGGUCAGCAUGGGAUCUUCCUGACCCAGGGAUUGAACCCACGUCUCCUGCACCAACAGGUGGACUCUUUACCACUGAGGGAAGUUCAUAGUCUGCGUAGAGGCAGCCCAUGACACAGGAUAGUGGGGCUAGCAGAGUUCCAGGACAGGCAGGAUGCAGGACGCUAUGGGAGUUCAGGACAGAGUAUCCUGCUCAACUGGUGAUUCCUGGAGGGAUCCCUGGGGAAGAGCCUUUUCUCCAGAGACAGGCUCUCGUUUAAUCUGGAGGAACAUACACAGGCUGGUUGGAUGCAAGUCUGCGUGUCGGGAUUCAGAGAACAGACUCAGGCAGUUGUUGAUUACAUCAAACGCGUCACUGGGCCUGCGGAGGAGCUUGUGGCAUGCAGGUGGGCAGGAAAAACUCAAACCACACUUCACCUUGGGACUCCUUCCCCUCCUUGGAUCAGAACCACACCUUUGAUAUAUUGCUGUGUGAGGAGAAUGCGCCAUGUCCCAGUUUCUAUUUCAUCGUGCCUCUGAGUUGUAUUCACAGUGCUAACUUUUCUACAAAGAAAUACUUGUAGAAAUGCUGGAUGCAAUAGGAAGCUUUUAAAUGAGAAAAAUGGAGAUUCUAUAUGCCUACUUGGAUACCAAGAUUCUGCCCAAAAGUUAAAUUUAUUUGGAAAGAGUCUAAACUGGUGUUUCCCUGCCCCUGAUAUAAUCUCUUCUCCUCUCUCCCCUUCUCUCUCCCCAUCCUCCUCCCUCUCCCUCUCAUGAGCCUCAUAUGAGGGCCACAUGGUUAAAAUGACUCUUGACUGUUGUUUUUGUCCAUUGAAAACGUGACCAGUAUCUGCUGGGUGUCUGGGAACCUUACAAGCUUGCCUUCUGCAGCCCCUGUAAGUGGCUGAAUUAGUGUUUCUCACCCUGUCCUCAGACAGAAUUUGUUAUCAAAGCCCAAGGUACAGUGGAGGCCAAGGCAACCAGCUCAGAGGCCAACAGAGCCUUGAGGAUUGUAGCAGAAGAUGGGCAUUUUUUUUCCUCUAAAGAAGGAUUUUAAAGAUUAUCAAGUUGCUCCCUUUCAGACAGAGAGCAGAAAUACCAGAGGCUGUAGUUGUCGAAGGAAAGUUGACAAAGUUGAAAGUUGGUCAAGAGGUUGGAGAGAGAAGCUAUUUUCAGCAUACUGAAAGGGCACCAUCUGAAUUUAGUCAGAAAAAUGAGGUCCUUGGUUCAAAUUCCAGCCCCCUUCAGGGGCUAGCAAGCCUGAGCCAAUCAUUGACUUUCUCUGGACUUCAGCAGAAGGAUAUUCCUUUUGGUUUCAGGGAAACCUGGAUUUACUGGGGCACUGUCACUCACUCGCCGUGUAACCCUGGGUGUGAUGUUUAGCCAUAUCUCUCAGCAUCCUUAUCUCGAAGUGGAGAUUAUAACAUCCACUCAUUUGGGCUGGCUUUUGCGAGGAAGGCUCUCAGCUCACUCCGACUAGGUGAGUGUCAUUCCCAGAUACUGCCUGUGGCGAUAGGAUGGUGAGAAAGAUAACGAAAUGGUACUUGCUGGAAAUCCGACUGCCCUCCCAGUGCUCCUGCACAGUGCCAGGGCCAGUUCUGGAAGGCGACAUCUCACAGACCCCAGCUCCAUCUACAUGUGGCUCAACAUUUUGACUUGGCUCCCUUUGUCCAGAGAUGCACAGGGCUGCGCCGUUUUGAAACUGAAUGACACCCAGUCUGUUCUGAUGUCUUGGCGGGUGUGUUUAUUUACUCAACACGUGUUGUUAUAUUUUCUCCCAGCACGCGUCCUUCUCCUGCGUUUCAAGGUAGAAGAGCCAUUACCUCUAAUGAGAGCUCCUUUGUUGCUUGUAUGCCACUUAGAAUGUUCAAGAGUGUGCUCGAUUUUUAACCUUCCAGUGCAUCUCUGUAAUAGCAUGCCACCCUUAAAAAAUGAGAGUCAGCUUCCCUCUAAAAGGAGCAGACACCGAUUUUCAACCUGAGAAACCCCCACUCAUCCUUGUAGGGGCCUCGGUUCUGCUGAGGACGCUGUAAAGCACCGUGCGUGGAAAGGCAGGGGGACUGCCGCCUGCGGGCCCCUCUGCUCUGCCGUGACCCACGAUGCAAACGAGACCAGUGCCUCGAAGGAUGCCGCGUUCUCAGUGCAUGUAAGCACCGCCCUAGGAGCCUGCAUCACAUCACUAGGAAGUGCAUGGAUGGCAGCCCUAUUUUUUUUUAAAGAGGCUUCAAUAUCACCUAAGUGAAUUAAUGUUGCCAGGAAAGGCAUUUGGAGAAUUGGUGCAUUAGGAAUAAUUGUCUUCUGGAUGCUCCCCUCACUUGAUGGAUUCAUUCUGCCCUUUUAUCCCCAUUGCUAUGGAAGCAGUCCCUGCACCUCUUUUCAUCAUCAGUCAUCAUCGUGGAAACCUCUUUCGUCCAAAUGAAGCGCUAACUGCUCCCUGAACACAGCAGACGCCUCACCUGAAUGACAGAGCCCUGCUCAUCUUUCAAGACCCACUUCAUCUCUACACUCUUGCCAGAUUUCCUGACACCAGGGUGUUUGCUCCCUCCCUCCUCUGCAUCCUCCAGUACUCUCUUUGGGCUUCCCUGUAGCUCAGCUGGUAAAGAAUCCACCUGUAAUGCAGGAUAUCCUGGUUUGAUACCUGGGUGGAAAAGAUCCCCUGGAGAAGAGAUAGGCUACCCACUCCAGUAUUCUUGGGCAUCCCUGGUGGCUCAGUGGUAAAAGAAUCUGCCUGCAAUGCGGGAGACAUAGUUCAAUCCGUGGGUUGGGAAGAUAGAUCCCCUGAAGGAUGCUAUGGCAACCCAUUCCAGUAUUAUUACCUGGGGAAUCCUCAUGGACAGAGGAGCCUGGUAGGCUACAGUCCAUGAGGUCACAAAGAGUCAGACACAACUGAGUGACUAAGCACAGCACAGCACUUUCUUUACAUCAGUAACUCUACAGUGGCACUCCCACCCUGAUUGGCAGUUAGCUGCAUGCGUGUCUUUUUUUUUUUUAUUAAUUCAUUUAUUUGGCUGUGCUGGGUCUUACUUGUGGCAUGCAGGAUCUUCAAUUGCACUGUGUGGUAUCUAGUUCCCUGACCAAAGAUCGAACCCAGGUCCUCUUGCAUCGAGAAUGCAGAGUCUUAGCCACUGGACCACCAGGGAAGCCCCUGUGUACAUGUCUGUUUCUCCUCUUGGACUGUGAGCUCAAGGUUAACUUUGGGGAACACAUUUUAUUUUUUAUCAGCAGCACCUGCCUAAUAGUGCCCAAGAUAUAUCUGGCACUUCUUAUAACUCUGGAGAAGAAGAAAAAAUAAUGCACAGAAGAGUUGACUAUUAAGAGAUACCAAAGCUGCUGUAGGGUAGGAGGAGCCAGAGGCAGCUAGGCUAAAAGGUAUAGGGAGAAGGGGCUUUCCUCCUCUAUAGUAAACCCUCCCCUUCCACAUGGGAGUAGAUAGAGACCUGGGAAGGGUAAGCUUCAUGUCCAAAGGCACACAUGAUCCAGAGCUGGGGCCAUCACUCAACAAGGAAGCCUGUCCUCUCAGGCAGGCCAGCUCUUCUUCUCCAGCACCACCUCUGAGGCACUGUCUUGAAGGAAGUGAGGGAAGCAAAGUGGUACUACUGAAGGAUAAUGCCAAGCAUAAGGCAAGAAGAAAGCAGACAAGUCUGCCUCACUUCAUGUAUCCAAGUCCCUCCAUAGCUGUUUCUGGCUAAGUCCCAAGAGCUUGUAUGCUUGGCUGGGACUGGAAAGUGGAUGUUAGCCAUGGAUCCAUGGGAUGAUGGUAGCCAUGAGGUCGUGGGGCUGGCAUUGCUGGUUGCCUUUCCAGAUCCCCUCUCUUGUCCCUAUGGCUCAUGAGCCCUACUUUAUACCCAUGACCCUGUGCUUUGGGAGGCUUGUGGGGUUUAUCUACAGUAAUUCAAGACAUGCAUGGGAGUUCUGCCCCCUUGCUAAGGGUGGAUAUGGACAUGGGUCACAGUUCUGGCCAAUGACACAGGAGGACCAGUCUUCCUCACUGUCGAAGAGAGACUUCUGCAAGAUUGCCAGAUUUAGUAAACAAAACAGAAAACAACAACCUGCAAAUCCAAACAGAACACCCAGUUAAAUUUGAAUAUCAGAUAAAGGAUGUAUUUUAGUCUAAGUAUGUUCCGUGUGCUGUUUGAAUGCCCCAGAGCAACAUCCGUGAGGUACCCUCCUCCAGAGUUCUCCAAGCUCUC